GACGUAGGGUGCAAGCGUUGUCCGGAUUUAUUGGGCGUAAAGAGCGUGUAGGCGGCCAGACAAGUCUGCUGUGAAAACUCGAGGCUCAACCUCGAGCUGUCGGUGGAAACUGUCUGGCUAGAGUCCGGAAGAGGAGAGUGGAAUUCCUGGUGUAGCGGUGAAAUGCGCAGAUAUCAGGAAGAACACCUAUGGCGAAGGCAGCUCUCUGGGACGGUACUGACGCUGAGACGCGAAAGCGUGGGGAGCGAACAGG
rnacentral:rRNA from 1 species